rnacentral:rRNA from 1 species
UGGGCAACCUGCCCCUAGCUCUGGGAUAACUCCGGGAAACCGGGGCUAAUACCGGAUACGACCUCGAGCGGCAUCUCUUGAGGUGGAAAGUUUUUCGGCUAGGGAUGGGCCCGCGGCCUAUCAGCUUGUUGGUGAGGUAACGGCCCACCAAGGCGACGACGGGUAGCCGGCCUGAGAGGGCGACCGGCCACACUGGGACUGAGACACGGCCCAGACUCCUACGGGAGGCA